rnacentral:tRNA from 1 species
GGGGGAUUAGCUCAGCUGGCUAGAGCGCUUGCAUGGCAUGCAAGAGGUAAUCGGUUCAAGUCCGUUAUCCUCCA